ACGAAUAGACGCACGUCCAUAAAGACGCAGGCAUAGCACUAUAUUAUGUGCAGAGAAAGAAAUAACGCGCAAUUUUAACUCAUAUGUGUUGUAGGAUGAUUGAUGCUUGCGUUCUUGCCACUCAUGCCCUUGCGGCUACGUUGGAGCGCAAACAUUCUCCCUGAAGCCUUGUACCUGCUUCAAAAUUUCUUGUUCUCGUUCAUACAUUCGUGCUGUGCAUUGCCGGCUUGACAUUCCACCAUUUUCGAACAGAGAGACGAGUUUCUCAUUUGUGCAUCGAAGCAAAGUGACGCAGGCGUAGAGGGACCUGGAAUUCGUACCUCGUCUGCCACUUCAAUGCGCGGUUGCAACGUGUGCACAGGUGCGCAUGACUGCACUCGUAAAGUAACAAUCCUAAUCCAACAAGCGUUAAACUACUGUGCAGUGUUUGCGUAGCGAACCCUCAGCUGAUCUGCGUGUAUAUCAUUUUAUAAAGAUAACUGGAAGAAUGAAGCGAGCAUUACCGCGGACCAGUCAAUGUCGGCAAUGUAUCGCUUGAUCUGUCUAUAGGCAAGACGCGGUAGGACUCACGCAGGCUGUAAAACUACCGUAAGACUGUCGCUGGCACAGUAUGCAUAAAGCGCAAUAACUAAAUUGCAAGGGUGAACGGUUAUCGUAUUAGCUCGCGAAAGCAGUCAGAUAUGGUUUUUGUUUACUUCUGGCGUUAAACAUACAGCUUUGUGAACACAGGCAGGGAUAACUAGACAAAAAAUUUUCGCACACAAAACGCUGCUUUAGGGCUGCUUUUCACGCCGUCGAUGUAAAUGACUUCGGUCGCGCGACACCAGGAAGGUUUUUUUUUCUCGACACGGCGGCUUAUUCAAGCGGCCUAAGUAACAACUUGCAGAGAGCACCACACCGUAUAAAAGUUCAUGGUACCCACUCAAAGAGGUCAAAUUAAUAGAAUAGCAAAUAAAAAGCACGGUCACUUCUCUUAAUAACACCGUCGCGGUAAAACUGAAACCACAGCUCAUGUGGCUUGCUUCGAAGUCGCGAAGUUUUUAUGCAAAGGCCUUAAACAGUCACAGACGUCGACGUGCACGCUUUUAUGCCGCAACACACAAGAUGAUCAGCGAAGCUGGCUUCGAAUCCCGGGUUCUGCUCGCCCAAUAUGAGCCAUUACGCAGGCUAACCACAGCGGGCGUGUAAAUUGAAGAGGCAUUUCAGCAUGACGACGCGAAACAACAUGCCACUGAGCAAGACGACCGCAGCACUGCACCGACUGCUCUAGUUCUUAAUCUCUCGGACAGCCAUGUUGGAUUUAAGGUGGCGCCCCCUAUAGGCCGUGAAAGUUGCGAAGUGUUGUGUCGACCGUAUGCUUCUUUUAUAUAUAUUUGUAUGUAUUGUGCCAUUUGGUGCCUUGGAGUGUAAUUAGUGGCGGAAAAAAUCUUCCGAUUCGCUCCGUCCGUUUCAUUCGAUAUGUGUGUUCGCGCGGUGAUUCGCGCACGGCGUUAUUUCGCUGCCGCAACACCGUUCCGCAACGAUUGUCACCGCCGGUAACGUGCGCUCCCGUGAAAGUGUUAGUGCCAAGCGGAGCCCAUCAACACAUCCCAGCGACUUGCUGCGUUCCUCGCAUUUCUGUGCACACCGUACCUUCAGGAAAUGCCAGCGUUACACCACGGCACAGCUGGGCCCUCUACAAGCUUGGAAACUUGCAUCACUGAAGACGGAGCUUCAAGAGAGAAAAAAGGGCACCACUGCAGCCUUUGCCCCUAUGUCGCGAGGAAUUCACCAACUUUGAGACAACACCUGCUGACUCAUACUGGAGAGAGGCCCUUUGAGUGCACCAUCUGCUUGGCUAGGUUUGCACAAGUGACAACACUUUCAAAUCACAUGCGCAGACACAGUGGAGAAAAACCGUACCAGUGUGCUGUCUGCCCGUAUAGAUCAGCUAACAGGAGUUCCAUGUUGUACCACAUCAAAAACCACACUGGUGACAAGCCCUUUGCAUGUAACGAGUGCUCUUAUGUCACCGCAAACAGAACGGAUCUGGUAAAACAUAUUCGCGUCCAUACAGGUGAAAAGCCAUACAAGUGUAAGGAGUGCCCAUACGCUUGCGCCCAAAAAACACACCUGUACCGGCACAUGUGGCGGCAUACUAAACUGCAGGAUCAAUUUCAGGGCCGUACUUCAUCUGGAAUGUGACGGAGUACAGCAAUGGGAGUGAGAAGAAAUCAAAUUUCCCAUCAGUCAUUAAAGGUGCCCCAGAACACUUUUUGACUGGGGUAAAUAAAUAAACCUGCUUCUUUGCUGGGCAGUGCUGUCCUCAUGAACAUCUCAACCUGAUAAUAUUUCUUCAUGUACACCCGUCAUGCUGGCUCAGUAGCUAUGGCGUUCUGCUACCAAGCGCGAGUUUGCAAGUUUGGCUCCAGGGGCAGAAUGCAAAAGUGCUCAUGCAGUGUGCUUUUAGUGCACUUUUGCCCCUUCCGUGCUAUGCUAUUAUCCCAAAUUUCAACCAAAAAUAGCCAAAUUAUUUUUAAGGGCCCCAGUUGCCAAAAUUUCUUUACCUCCACAGAAUAAAUUCAUUCCUGCUUGCACAGUCCCAUGGCUCUUGUGCUGCCAUCUAUCGAAAGCAUUACUAAGCACUGAGACAAAACUAGGCUCAUCCAUGGCAUUGCUAGAAAAUGCAAGGUACUGCUGACAAGCCAGGCUCAUCCUUUGCUGUUUUUACCAGAAAUGCCUGGACAAACCCACCUCGUCUAAGGCGCAGAAAGGUCUAAAGAUUAAUGGUGAAGAUUAAUCCCUCGUAGCCAACUGUGCAGAUUCGGGACGUUAAAGCCCAUAAUUUAGUUUUCAACCUUCUGCUUUUAGCAGGCCUCAAUUUUGUUCAAGAGAAAGGCUACUCUUCUUUUUCCUUCAGCUUCUUAAUAUUCCUGUUCCAUUUCACACACAUAGCUAAACAUUUAUGGACAUGACGGCCGUGUUUAGGUAGGAUGGACGAAGCAGUGCCUUCAGCAGAUGCAAAACAGACCUCCUCACUGACAUGGCAGUGGCGCCACCUAAUGGUGGAGAGCAACGUCACUGCGCUGACACUAACUCGGGACUCUAUUUGCCAUUAUUGCCUCCGAGACAAGGCACUGUGACAGUGUCACACCACCUAAUCUUAAAGCCUUACUAAUGCAAUAUACUCAGCAUGAUCGGUAGAGUAUAGGGACGAAUUGUUCUUCACGAGAAUACCAGCAAGAGGCUUGAGCACACUUCUCAACAAGAAAAAUAAUGCGAGGGUGUAAGAAUGUGGCAGUAGCUGCUUCUCAUUGAAAGGUGCAUUGAAAGACCUUUUAUUUGAAAGCAUACAGAUGCUGAUGCAUUCCACACCUUUCAUAAAAGUUGUUACAAAGCUCAUAUAAAUGGGUCCCUGUGACCCCUGAAGCACUGCU